rnacentral:lncRNA from 1 species
AAAUUCCCCAAAGACAACGUCAGUCCCCAAACACUCCUUUUCACUUCAUCUCCCUCAUCUCAAAAACCCUAAUCCACUGCCCUUGAAUUCUCCACUCGCCGGUCGGCAGCGCCGCCUCAGACCAGCCUCAAACUCACACCCCAAAAUCCUCACAACCUCCCCUUUCCUAAUCCAUAACUAAUAUCCCUUGAAUCGUCACAAAACGGAGCCGAUUUCAAAUCUAAAAAAGGCAGAAAAACGAAAGCAAAAAUCUCUUGAUUUCUUCAAGUUUCAAUGACCGGUUAGGGUCUAAAUUGUUGUUUCUCACUGGUUUUUAACAAGAACCCGCGAUGAAUACCAAUUUCAGCUCGAAAUCGAGAUAAUAGAGGUCCGUUCAAAGCAAUGACAGAGGUCCGUCCACUUCUUGUUUAGGUAUUUUAAGUCUCUUUUCAUUUUCUUUUUCGUUUAGUUCCAGUCUUCAUCUCUUCCUGCUUCGUCUCUUCUUUUCUCUAUUAUUUUUUUCUGUUUUUGCUCGCAUGUUUAAAAUUAAAAUUUGUUAGUUCAUGUUUGUUUUAAUUUCUUUGUUCUUUUGUUUUAUUUCAUAUUUCUUGUUUUCAAAAGAAAAGAACUCUAAUUUUUUUGGGGCAAUUCCGUUUACCCCAUUAGUUUUCUGAGUUUGAUUUUGAAUUGGGCUCUGUUAAUCAGAGGCCCAAAGGAAAGGGGAUUAGCCGGGUUUGGUAAACCCAUGUCUUGUAGGUCUUGGGUCUAUUUGACCCAUUUGUUUCCAAGGGUAAAUAACAGAGGUUUAAGGAUUAAUUUAGGAAUUUUAGGUUAAGGAAUCUUGUAUAACUGACUCGGCAAACUUCUAGGAAGGUGGGUUUGGGGCUGUUUUUGAAAAGCUAAUUUUUGAAUUAGGGAUUGAAUAGCAAAAACGAAAAUUGAAAAAGGAUUAAAGAGCAAAAACUGAACUCAUUUCUGCUGCCCUAAAAAUUCUCUAUAAAAUGCUAUUUCUUCACUCCCAAGUCAGAGUUUUGGAGACUGAAAAAAGCAUUGAAUCUUUAAAAACGGCUGAGUUUUUCUUUCAAGUUCAAGUACUGGAAAUUGCUUGAAUUUUGCUUGGUUUUUGAGUUUUAAUUACUUUUGAUAAGUCAGAAGUUCAAAAGUUUAAUAUAAUAGCUCAUCUGGGUUUUAAAAGUCUGGAAUUGGGUCGAGAAUUUGAAGCUUGUUUUGCCGAUUAUAUACUGUUAUGCUGCUAUUUUGCUGCUGCUGUUUCCUCCUAAUCUCAGGCUUUAUUUCUGGUUUAUUUUGCUGUAUUCAGGUACAUGUUUCUAAAUCCUACCUAAUGUGAGGCUCCAUUUGAAGUAUGAAAUUGAAAUCUGGAGUUUUAAGCAUAGCCUCAACUUACUUGUUCAUAGUUUAGCUUUACUUUUCUGAAUUACAUUAUUCUGAUUUAUCUGAUGCAUUGUAUUUUGUCUGGCUGCUGACAGUACUCGCUUAAGAGCUGUAUUUGGUCUGUACUUAGCAUGGAAUUCAAUUUUCUAUCAAGUAUCUUAUAGCUAGAUGUUGGUUUUGACAACUGAACUCGUACCAUUGUGUCUGAUCUUGGACUAUUAUGAUGGAAGCAUGAUGAACACCCUGCUUAGUCGAAUCAGUAGCUAAAUUCUGCAAUCAACCAUGUUAAAUAGUGUAAUGUUGGCUGCAUUUGAACUCUCUCUGCCUUGUAUUUCAUUUGGACUGUUAUAGCAUGUUUGUGGUACACAAAUAACACUUUACUUCAUGGAGUUGAUCACUGAAUGGUUCAUAAGUCAGUAGUUAGUCUAUUUAAGUUGUAUUCCAUUUUGAAUCCAUGUUCCCAAGCAUAUGCAUGUUUUGAAGUCCUCUCAAGUAUUCUGAUGAAAAUUGAGUUGAAUGCUGGUUAUGUUUCGAUAGUAAGAUUAAUUGUGAAUGGUUAUAAUGUUUAAAUGUAGAAUUGUUAACAUAUAGUCUCAUAAGGUUGAUCUACUAUUGUAUGUGUUGAAGAGGGGUUUAAUCGAGGUUUAAAUCUCACAAUUGCAUAUGAAUUAGUUGAGGACUGAUUUAAAUAUGAUCCUUAUACAGCUGUGUAUUAUGGAAAACCCAUCAGACCCUUGUUAUUAGAUUUGAUGUUCAAGUGCCUUUUUUUUACAAGCUGCAAGGACUCGAUCUCGAAUCCUGUUUUUCCCCUGCCUCAUCUUAAGAGAUUCUGUUUGCCGGAUUUUUAAUCUAUUCAGAAAUAGGAAGUUUGUAUUUCCAGCCCUUUUGGGCCUGUGUUUUGAGCCCAUCUGCUUUUCUUUAAUUUUGAUACGGGGUGUUCCAAAUAGCAACUGGGCCUGCUAUUAGUUUAGGCCUCUCCCUAUAAUUGAAUACUUGUCUUAUUUUAAUAUCAGUCCCUUAAUGAACGAGUUUGGGUUGAGCCAUUCACUUGAAACAAGAGUUUAAAUUCCCUUAGUGCUCAAUUAAUUGGAUUCCAUUAAAUAAGUUUGAGAGGUGCCAUAAUAAAAAACACCAAUAGUCUAUGGCCCUCAUAAUUUUCAAAUAAAGAACCUUUUGAAUAAAUUAGAUUUGAGGCGUGCCAUAUUAGGCAAGAUAAUUUAUGGCCCUCAAAAGUAGUUCGAACAUCCUUGGAAAUUAGAAAUUGAGGUGUGCCAUUAGUGAAUUUUACAUGGCCCUCGCAAACUUGAAAGAGCAUAGUUGCUUUAGGCGCGAUAUUUAAAUUUAUCUCCUUAAACUCGGGUGUGCAUUUCAUGUGACCCAACUCCAAGUCUCAACAACAUUAAAUAAAAUGUGUCGUGGACCGCAAGUACAUUUAAUGUGGCGUGGUUCAAGGCAUAUUUUAAAUAACGUUGAAUCCUCUUAAAAUAAUUAGAAACGGUUUAAUAAGUUAAAAUUGUACCAUAGGUUAAAACAUGUACUAAAAUUAGAUAAUAGGCCAAUUAUAUUAAUUAAAGUGACCGUGCUAGAACCACGGAACCUGGGGGUGCCUAACACCUUCCCUCGAGUUAACAGAAUUCCUUAUUCAGAAUUUCUGUGUUCGCGGACUAUAAAAUAGAGUCAAUCUUUCCACGAUUCGGGAUUUGAACCGGUGACUUGGGACACCAUAAAUUAUCCCAAGUGGCGACUCUGCUUUAAAUAAAUAAAUCCAGUUUCGAUUGUCACUUUAAGUUGGAAAAAACUCCCUUAUACCUUUUCGGGGUAGUAAAAAGGAGGUGUGACACUCAUGAAUAGUUAGACUCCCCUUUAUAUAGUAGAGGAGUUUUACCCUAAGUACAAUUCUAAAAAAGGGUAAAAAUCCUUCUUCUUGCUAAUCACUAAUCCUUUGCUGAUACAGGCCAAAAAUUACGCCGUGACAUCCGGUUGGAUGUGGAUAUCACGACCCUUUGCUAGCCGUGUGUGAUUGUCUAGUAGAGCUCUCCGAAACUUUGUGAUUCGAACUGGUCCUGGGGGAUGUGGCCCCGAUUCUUCCGAGGGCAAGUGUUUCGUCCGAAUCUCGAUACGAGGGGCUCAUUUCCUCGAUUCUGAUUCCUUAUGCUCAUGUCUCCACUCCGUUUGUUUUACCGAGAACCGAGGCCUCCAACGGGCUCAGUUUCACCCGUAUACAAAAUCAUCUCAUUAAGAAUAAAUGAGAAGCUUAAAGUUAAAUUAUUUUUAAAUAUAAAAAAAAUGACGGUAGAUUAAAGAGGAAAAUGCAUAAGAGACCGGGGAGUAUUCUACUUAUAUAGAAGAGCGCACAAGCUGCUCUCCGUCGACAUCCCUGCUUGCCGACGGAGGGCAAUUUCGUAUUUGCAGUGCCCUAUUUUAGGUAAAAUUCCUGUUGUGUCCCUAUACUAAUUGUUUUGUGUUGUUUAGGAAAGACUACUUAGGUAAUUUCACAAUUCACAGUCACCGCUUAAUUUUGUGCUGCUUUAUCAUAAUACCAUAAUUUUGCUCUGCUUUACCAUCUCGCUUUCUGGAAAAUUGGCCCAUCUUCUUCUUCUUACUCGCUUAACCCUUGUGAUUUUAUGGUGCUUUUUGCUUUCAUAAAUUGAAUCCCAAUUUCUGGAAUGUAAAGUAAUAUUUUUGACUGAAAAUUGAGUUCACAGUUUCACAUUUGCUCCACCAAGAUAAUUAUAUAGCUGAAAGGUUAGUUUUAUUGUUCUAUUUCUUCUCCUUCAUAUGGGUGACUCUGAUUAUUUUGUUUCAGGGUUCUUCUUAGUUUGUUGUUCAAAUUUUUGUUGUUUGUGAAACUCAAAGAACAUCUUGAAAAGAAACUGGGGUUUCCACCAAUUAUCCGAUAAUUUUCUAUCUUUGUUUGUAUUUGAAGGUUUUGUCAUUUUAAAAUUGGGGAUUUCAGAAUACAUGAGCCUCUGACUUUCUUAUAUUUGAGCCACAAUUCUAAGUUUCAUCUUGUUCAUCCUGUUUCUUUCUCUGCUUCAUCUUCUGAUUUCGUUUUAUCUCAAGUUUAUCGAUUUCGACAUCAACGAUUAAUCGAAGGUCUUUGGAUAAGAAACCUGGGUCAUUGACUUGAACGGUAUUUCUUACUCUUACCACUCUGCUUUGUUCAUGUGUUACUUCAGGUUUAAAACAAAUUGUUUGCUAGAUCUCAAAUUUUUUCUUUUGGUCAACUUUGUUUUAAGUUGGCCUGCUACGUGUUUGUGAAAUUGCCAACUCCAAUGUGAUAAACCAAAAGGUUUGGGUCAUCACUUGUUUUUAAAUUUAAUUCUGUGUUUCCGAAGCCUUGAAAACCUCAUUUAGCAUCACCUCAAUUUGUGUGUAUAGUCCGGGCGCAUAGCCGGAAAGCUUAUAUGGAAAAUCUAUGAAAAAUUGAUAAAUUUUGACUAUAAAAUGAAUAAAUUUGACUUUGGUCAACGUUUUGGGUAAACGGACCUGAACCCACAAUUUGACAAUCUCGGAGGGUCCGUAGGAAAAUAUGAGACUUGGGCGUAUGCCCGGAAUCGAAUUCCGAGGUCCCAAGCCCGAGAAAUGAAUUUUUAAAGAAUAAUUAUUUUCUGAAAUUAUUUAAAGGAAUUUGAAAUGAAUUUCGAUUAGAACAUGUUGGUAUUAGGCCCGUAUUUUGGUUCUGGUACCCGGUACAGGUCUUAUAUAUGAUUUAAGAUGAUUCGGUGGAGUUUGGUAAGAAACGGAAUCUUUUUGACUUGAUUCAGACGGUAAAUGCAAAGUUUGAUGCUUUAAGAAAUUUUGAAAUAUUUCAUUGAUUUUGAGGUUUAAUUUGUUGUUAUUGAGGUUAUUUUGGUGAUUUGAUCACACGAAUAAGUUCGUAUGAUGUUAUUGAGUUAGUACGCAUGUUUGGUUUUGAGCCCCGAGGGCUCAGGUGUGUUUCAGAAGGUUUAUGGGAACUCAAAAAGUUGUAGGUUUUUGCUGUUUAGUGCCCAGGGAUUUUUCUCUUCGCGUUCGCGUGGUCCCUCUCGCGAACGCGUAAGGCAAAUUUCCCAGGUGCCAGAUUUCUUCUUCGCAAACGCGAGGCUGAGGGGGGAAUACCCUUCGCGAACGCGUCCAUGCACUCGCGAACGCAUCCAUGCACUCGCGAAUGUGUAAGGUUAAGGCCUGGGGAGGGGUCACCAUUUUGUGCAUCACGAACGCGGCCAUUGGCCCGCGAACGCGUAGGCUUGAGGGGCCAAAGCUCUGCGAAUGCGAGCCAUCUUCCGCGAAUGCGAUGACCAGUUUUGCCCAGUUAUUUUACGUUUCAAAAACAGAAUGUCAUAUGGGAUUUUCAUUAUUUUUCACAAACUUCAUCUUCUUCACACCUCUUGGGCAAUUUUUUAAGAAGAACUUCACCAUAGCUUCAUAGGUAUGUAAUCCUAAGCUCGUUUUCUUCCAUUUUUAUCAACACCCAAUAGAUUUCUAGGCCUAAAACAUGUGAUUAAGGGUAGAAAAUUAGUAAUUUGGGUAGAGUUAUGGCUUUUUGAUUAUUUGGGAAUUUGACCUCAUUUUGGGGUCGGAUUUCAAAACAAAUUAUAUAUUUGGGCUCGUGGGUGAAUGGGUGACCGGGUUUUGGUCCGAACCUCGUGUUUUGACCAAGCGGGCCCGUGGUCAAUUUUUGACUUUUUGGGAAGAAUGAUUAGAAAGUUAUAAUUAAGCAUUGGAAUUGGAUUGUUUAGCGUUUAUUGAUGUUAUUAAGUCGAUUAUGUCUAGAUACAAUUGAUUUGGAGCCGAAUUCGAAAGGAAAGGUGGUGUUUGAGGCUUGAGUUGACCAUUGAAGUUCAAGGUAAGUGUUUGGUCUAACCUUAGCUUGAGGGAUUAGGAGUUAUGUCCUAUUUGCUAUUUGCUUCUGGUUGAGUACAAUGUAUAGGCAUGUUGACGAGUAUCUAUACGUUGGUGUCUAGCAUGCCCGUGAGUCUUUAUAUUGUGAUUAUCAUGACUUCGUUGUAUCUUUCAUACCUUGGUGAUGGUUUCUACUUGUUGUAUAAUGUUUGUGGAAAGAAUUGUGACCUAUGAACAUUGAGGAGCAUUGGCUCAAGUUGUAUAACGAAUUGUGAAAGUAUAAGUAACAAUUGAACUUUUAGAGCAUUGACUCGAGUUGUGAAAUGAGUUGUGAAGGUAUAAGUGAUAAUUGAACCUCUAGAGUAUGGGCUUGAGUUGUGAAGUGAAUCGUCAAGAAAAAAAUGAGAAAGAGAAGAGAUCAUUAUGUUGUCACCCUUGCCGGGAUUUAAGUGUUGACUUGUUGCUCCCUUGCUGGGAUUCUUAUUGCAAUUUCCUUUAUUUCCUUGCCCUAUUGUUUGUGAUUGUUGUUUAGGUGAGGAAGAGAGUUAAAGCAUGAAGGGUGAUGCCGUGCAUUGUUUGUUUUUUGAGGAAAGAGAGUAAAGCACGAAGUGUGAUGUCGUGCCGCACGAUGUACCAUUCUGUGCCUAUCAUAUUGAUUUCAUGGAUGAGGAAAGAGUGUAAAGCACGAAGGGUGAUGCUGUGCUACACGAUGUACCAUUCCAUGCCUAUUGUAUUGAUUAUUAUGGUGAGGACGAGAGUAAAAGCACGAAGGGUGAUGUCGUGCACUUGUCCUUGAUUUUCCCUGAUUCUUGCUGAUAAUUCAGUUAUGUUGUCCUUUACGUUUAUUUACUGAUUUUCUGUUGUUACUUGAUUUUAUUUCGAGGUUAUAGAUUCCCUUAUCCUAUUUUCCUUGUGGUUGUUGUUUGGGUGAGGAAGAGCGUAAAGCACGAAGGGUGAUGUCGUGCAUUAUUUUGUGAGAGAGUGUUAAAGCAUGAAAGGUGAUGUCGUGUAUUGUUUUGGUGAGAGAGAGUAAAAGCACGGAGGGUGAUGCCGUAUGCUUGUCUUUGAUUUCCUAAUUUUUAUUGAUAACUGUGUUACGGUUUCUCUACACUAAAUUGUUGGUUUCCUGUUGAUACUUGUUGUACGCCGCAACAUGAUUUCCCCUUCCUAUUUUCAAUUGAACUGUGGUGAUCCUCAUAUUUAUUUAUUUCUCUUCUGCUACUACUCGAUGUUUCUCCACAACAUGUUUUCCCCCUCCCAUACUUGACUGUAUAUGACUGUUUCUUUCUGUACUUCUUUUCCACUGUAUAUAGUUAAAUUGCACAGGUUUAUUCAGUAGUCUGGUCCUAGCCUCGUCACUACUUCGCCGAGGUUAAGCUAGGCACUUACCAGCAUAUGGGGUCGGUUGUGCUGAUACUACACUCUGCACUUUUUGUGCAGACCCCAGUGUUGUAGACUUCGGACCGCAGUGGGUUGUUGAUUUUUGCUCAUCAGGCGACCCGAAGUAGUCCUGCAGGCGUCCGCAGGCCUUGGCGUCUCCUUCUAUCUACUUUCCUGUUUCUACAUUAUUUCCAGAG